CCAGUAUUUUUAUUCCUUCCAGAGAAUCACAGAAUAGUUGAGAGUGGAAGAUGCAGCUGGAAGACACCCGGUCUAAGCCUCUGCUCAAGCAGGCCCACUGAAGGCUGAUUGUCCAGCAUCUGCCCAUCAGCUCUGGCACUGGACCGUGGAGAACAGCCUGGCUUUGUCAUCUUUACAUCCUUCCUUCAGGACUGAUGAGUAGGACUAAAAGAACUCCAUCUCCAUUGCUGUGUUUUGCACUGCACUUCAGAAUGUCAAACUGCUCUUCAUCCUGGGAGUG